CAAAAGAAAUUGAAACUAGGUCAAACGGGGUCAACUCCAUGGAACAGUUGUUGAACAGAAAGCAAUGCAAAAUGGGAACAACUCUGGGGGUCCAUGGUCCCGAAGGGUGCCGUAUGGGGAGGUUUCGCUUCCUGGUGUGCGAUUCAGGUUUCCGGUGAAACUUGCCUGACUCUGUGUUGAACGACACGGGCUCGCUGGACGGUCCCGUUCCAAGCUCGUUCUUUGGUGUCACUUUGAACUCGUAACUGGAACGAGACAAAAACCAUCAAGUCGGGGGACGAACUGCAUUGAAGAGAACAGGCGAGAAGCUCGGUCAUCCGGGAGGGACUUGGUGUCGAACUGCUGCUCCUCCGCAUUGAGAGGAGCCAGAUGAGGCGGCUGGGGCAUCUGAUCCGGACGCCUCCCCGGCGAGGUGUUCCGGGCACGUCCCGCCGGAAAGAGACCCCCGAGGGCGACCCAGGCCACGCUGGAGAGACUUAAGUCGGGAACGCCUCGGGAUCCCUCCGGAAGAGCUGGAAGAAGCGGCUGGGGGAAGGGAAGUCUUGAGUGUCCCUGCUGAAGCUACUUCCCCCGUGACCCGACCAGGAAAAGCGGUAGAUAAUGGAAGGAUGGAUGGAUGGAUGGAUUUCUUUUAAGCCGCAUUUUCUCGUCACUUGGCAAAUUUCGUGCUAAUGUACCUGCCGGACAUGUUUUCAAAUCUUCAGGC